GGCGACCGGCGCACGGGUGAGUAACGCGUAUGCAACUUACCUAUCAGAGGGGGAUAACCCGGCGAAAGUCGGACUAAUACCGCAUGAAGCAGGGGCCCCGCAUGGGGAUAUUUGCUAAAGAUUCAUCGCUGAUAGAUAGGCAUGCGUUCCAUUAGGCAGUUGGCGGGGUAACGGCCCACCAAACCGACGAUGGAUAGGGGUUCUGAGAGGAAGGUCCCCCACAUUGGUACUGAGACACGGACCAAACUCCUACGGGAGGCAGCAGUGAGGAAUAUUGGUCAAUGGCCGAGAGGCUGAACCAGCCAAGUCGCGUGAGGGAUGAAGGUUCUAUGGAUCGUAAACCUCUUUUAUAAGGGAAUAAAGUGCGGGACGUGUCCCGUUUUGUAUGUACCUUAUGAAUAAGGAUCGGCUAACUCCGUGCCAGCAGCCGCGGUAAUACGGAGGAUCCGAGCGUUAUCCGGAUUUAUUGGGUUUAAAGGGUGCGUAGGCGGCCUUUUAAGUCAGCGGUGAAAGUCUGUGGCUCAACCAUAGAAUUGCCGUUGAAACUGGGGGGCUUGAGUAUGUUUGAGGCAGGCGGAAUGCGUGGUGUAGCGGUGAAAUGCAUAGAUAUCACGCAGAACCCCGAUUGCGAAGGCAGCCUGCCAAGCCAUUACUGACGCUGAUGCACGAAAGCGUGGGGAUCAAACAGGAUUAGAUACCCUGGUAGUCCACGCAGUAAACGAUGAUCACUAGCUGUUUGCGAUACACUGUAAGCGGCACAGCGAAAGCGUUAAGUGAUCCACCUGGGGAGUACGCCGGCAACGGUGAAACUCAAAGGAAUUGACGGGGGCCCGCACAAGCGGAGGAACAUGUGGUUUAAUUCGAUGAUACGCGAGGAACCUUACCCGGGUUUGAACGCAUUCGGACCGAGGUGGAAACACCUUUUCUAGCAAUAGCCGUUUGCGAGGUGCUGCAUGGUUGUCGUCAGCUCGUGCCGUGAGGUGUCGGCUUAAGUGCCAUAACGAGCGCAACCCUUGCCACUAGUUACUAACAGGUAAAGCUGAGGACUCUGGUGGGACUGCCAGCGUAAGCUGCGAGGAAGGCGGGGAUGACGUCAAAUCAGCACGGCCCUUACAUCCGGGGCGACACACGUGUUACAAUGGCGUGGACAAAGGGAGGCCACCUGGCGACAGGGAGCGAAUCCCCAAACCACGUCUCAGUUCGGAUCGGAGUCUGCAACCCGACUCCGUGAAGCUGGAUUCGCUAGUAAUCGCGCAUCAGCCAUGGCGCGGUGAAUACGUUCCCGGGCCUUGUACACACCGCCCGUCAAGCCAUGGGAGCCGGGGGUACCUGAAGUCCGUAACCGAAAGGAUCGGCCUAGGGUAAAACUGGUGACUGGGGCUAAGUCGUAACAAGGUAGCCGUACCGGAAGGUGCGGCUGGAACACCUCCUUUCU
rnacentral:rRNA from 1 species